rnacentral:rRNA from 1 species
UACGUAGGGUGCAAGCGUUGUCCGGAAUUAUUGGGCGUAAAGAGCUCGUAGGCGGUCUGUCGCGUCGGGAGUGAAAACACCGGGCUUAACUCGGUGCUUGCUUUCGAUACGGGCAGACUGGAGGUAUGCAGGGGAGAACGGAAUUCCUGGUGUAGCGGUGAAAUGCGCAGAUAUCAGGAGGAACACCGGUGGCGAAGGCGGGUCUCUGGGCCGCAACUGACGCUGAGGAGCGAAAGCGUGGGGAGCGAACAGG